rnacentral:rRNA from 1 species
UACGUAGGGUGCGAGCGUUGUCCGGAAUUAUUGGGCGUAAAGGGCUCGUAGGCGGUCUGUCACGUCGGGAGUGAAAACUCAGGGCUUAACCCUGAGCCUGCUUCCGAUACGGGCAGACUAGAGGUAUGCAGGGGAGAACGGAAUUCCUGGUGUAGCGGUGAAAUGCGCAGAUAUCAGGAGGAACACCGGAGGCGAAGGCGGUUCUCUGGGCAUUACCUGACGCUGAGGAGCGAAAGUGUGGGGAGCGAACAGG